rnacentral:rRNA from 1 species
UACGAAGGGGGCUAGCGUUGUUCGGAUUUACUGGGCGUAAAGCGCACGUAGGCGGACUAUUAGGUCAGGGGUGAAAUCCCGGGGCUCAACCCCGGAACUGCCUUUGAUACUGGAAGACUUGAGUCCGGGAGAGGUGAGUGGAACUGCGAGUGUAGAGGUGAAAUUCGUAGAUAUUCGCAAGAACACCAGUGGCGAAGGCGGCUCACUGGCCCGGUACUGACGCUGAGGUGCGAAAGCGUGGGGAGCAAACAGG